rnacentral:rRNA from 1 species
GACGAACGCUGGCGGCGUGCCUAAUACAUGCAAGGAGAACGCUGAAGAGAGGAGCUUGCUCUUCUUGGAUGAGGUGCGAACGGGUGAGUAACGCGUAGGUAACCUGCCUUGGAGCGGGGGAUAACUAUUGGAAACGAUAGCGAAUACCGCAUAACAAUGGAUGACACAUGUCAUUUAUUUGAAAGGGGCAAUUGCUCCACUACAAGAUGGAUCUUCGUUGUAUUAGCUAGUAGGUGAGGUAACGGCUCACCUAGGCGACGAUACAUAGCCUACCUGAGAGGGUCUCCGGCCCCACCUGGAGUGUGACAAGGCCCAGGCUCCUCCUGGAGGCCGCAGCAGGGGCUCUUCGCCACUGGGGGCGAUCCUGACCGAGCAACGCCGCGUCAUAGACGAAGGUUUUCGGAUCGUAACGCUCUGUUGUCAGUCGAGAGCGAGUGUGAGAGUGGAAAGUUCACACUGUGACGGUAGCUUACCCGAACGGGACGGCUAACUACGUG